AUCCAGCCAACGAGUCACAAAUAGGACGAAACACGCGUCCUGGAU
rfam:Schistosoma curassoni strain Dakar, Senegal genome assembly, scaffold: SCTD_contig0000330